rnacentral:tRNA from 1 species
GGGGUCAUGGCUCAGUGGCAGAGCACAUACCUCCCACGUAUGAGGCACUGGGUUUCGAUCCUCAGCACUGCA